rnacentral:rRNA from 1 species
AGCGAACGCUGGCGGCAGGCCUAACACAUGCAAGUCGAACGAUCCUUCGGGAUAGUGGCGGACGGGUGAGUAACACGUGGGAACGUACCUUUAGGUUCGGGAUAACUCAGGGAAACUUGAGCUAAUACCGGAUAAGCCCUUUUGGGGAAAGAUUUAUCGCCUUUAGAGCGGCCCGCGUUAGAUUAGCUAGUUGGUGAGGUAAAGGCUCACCAAGGCUCCGAUCUAUAGCUGGUCUGAGAGGAUGAUCAGACACACUGGGACUGAGACACGGCCCAGACUCCUACGGGAGGCAGCAGUGGGGAAUCUUGCGCAAUGGGCGAAAGCCUGACGCAGCCAUGCCGCGUGAAUGAUGAAGGUCUUAGGAUUGUAAAAUUCUUUUAGCAGGGACGAUAAUGACGGUACCUGCAGAAAAAGCCCCGGCUAACUUCGUGCCAGCCGCCGCGGUAACAC